AGACCCGAAACCCGGUGAUCUAGCCAUGGGCAGGUUGAAGGUUGGGUAACACUAACUGGAGGACCGAACCGACUAAUGUUGAAAAAUUAGCGGAUGACCUGUGGCUGGGGGUGAAAGGCCAAUCAAACCGGGAGAUAGCUGGUUCUCCCCGAAAGCUAUUUAGGUAGCGCCUCGUGAAUUCAUCUCCGGGGGUAGAGCACUGUUUCGGCUAGGGGGCCAUCCCGGCUUACCAACCCGAUGCAAACUGCGAAUACCGGAGAAUGUUAUCACGGGAGACACACGGCGGGUGCUAACGUCCGUCGUGAAGAGGGAAACAACCCAGACCGCCAGCUAAGGUCCCAAAGUCAUGGUUAAGUGGGAAACGAUGUGGGAAGGCCCAGACAGCCAGGAUGUUGGCUUAGAAGCAGCCAUCAUUUAAAGAAAGCGUAAUAGCUCACUGGUCGAGUCGGCCUGCGCGGAAGAUGUAACGGGGCUAAACCAUGCACCGAAGCUGCGGCAGCGAACGUAUCACCCAAGACAACUUUACGGAGUUGACGAUUGACGGAGCGAAGCGACGUCAAAGCGUUCAUUAAAGUCGAGUUGGCUUAGGGAUACGUUCGUUGGGUAGGGGAGCGUUCUGUAAGCCUGUGAAGGUGUG
rnacentral:rRNA from 4 species